rnacentral:rRNA from 1 species
GACGAACGCUGGCGGCGUGCUUAACACAUGCAAGUCGAACGGAAGGGCCCUGCUUUUGUGUGGUGCUCGAGUGGCGAACGGGUGAGUAACACGUGAGUAACCUGCCCUUGACUUUGUGAUAACUUCAGGCAACUGGUGCUAAUACCUGAUAGGAGCGCCUGCUGCAUGGUGGGGGUUGGAAAGUUUCGGCGGUGGGGGAUGGACUCGCGGCUUAUCAGCUUGUUGGUUGGGUAGUGGCUUACCAAGGCUUUGACGGGUAGCCGGCCUGAGAGGGUGACCGGCCACAUUGGGACUGCGAUACGGCCCAGACUCCUACGGGAGGCAGCAGUGGGGAAUAUUGCACAAUGGGCGGAAGCCUGAUGCAGAAACGCCGCGUGCGGGAUGACGGCCUUCGGGUUGUAAACCGCUUUCGCCUGUGACGAAGCGUGAGUGACGGUAAUGGGUAAAGAAGCACCGGCUAACUACGUG